GGCGGACACAGCCUCAGACAAAGGAAGAAGGAAAGAGAAAGAGGCCACCCUUGUGCUGGGUCUGGGAGAGAAGGGAGCCAGUAUCUUUUACGGAGCUGCGAGAUUGUCACACAACCUGGGAAUGAGCAACCUACGUGCUUCCUAAUCCAAAGUUGGUCACGACAAGACAAAAUCUUUCAUCAGUCUAGAUUGACACGGAGAACAGCUGGAAUUCUUCCCAAGACAUCUUCAAUAAGAAAAGGAGCUCUGCUCAUGUGUGAUCGGAGGGAUGGAAGCAAGACUGGAGUACCAGGACCCUGGGUGGAGACAAGCCUGGCUUGUACCCCUGACUCCCCCUCUGCUGACUGCACACACCUCACUCUCCCAGAGUCCGGAGGCUUUCCAGUCAGAGGCCAAGUCCUAAGGAAGGAAGUUCAGGAGCCCAGAGCUGGGAGGCAACUCACUGGGUCUGCACAUUCUUCCUAGAUUAGUAACACACAUUCUCUUGCUAGUUCAUUGUGAGCGAGUUGGGAGCGCUUUCCUUUUUCUCUUUUAGGGAGGUCAUGUCACGAUUCUACACACGCUUCUAAUUGCAGUCCCCCCCCCCCCCCACCUCCCGCCUCCCGCAGAAACGAAUGGAGCAUUUUCCAGGUCAGAUUGGUGUUUAGUCAUCUGGACACGAGUCCCCCCUUCCUCUUGCCUUAAUCUUUCCCAGGCUGGAUUCUGUCUUUGAAACAAUAGGAAAUGACAAGGUCUAUUUUUCUUUUCUUGAAAGGACUCAAACCAUGGAGUCAUGAGUUGGAACGGAGAAAGUACGGGGAAUGAAUCUGUACCCCCAAUAGGAAGUGACCAACUUUCCUCCUUUUGUUCUGCCCGAGUCCAGCGGGCUGAGCUCAUGAUAUGCCAGAGAAUUUGCUUAAAAGCAGGAAGGCGGCAUGUUCACCUCAAGAUAAAUUCCCAGUUGGAUUGUCUGUUGGACCCACUCUGAGAUGCAGUCAGGCUGUGAGCGGUCUUCAAGCAAAGAUUGGGAACCUUUCAAAGAGGGGGUCUGCUAGGAGAAUUCCUGGGGCCCUGGAUGAUCUUAAGGCACCCCCUGUGAGCCAGUUACUAGAUGAGCUUUCUAAGUGUUGAUUUUUGGGGCGCCUGGGUGGCUCAGUGGUUGAGCGUCUGCCUUUGGCUCAGCUCGUGACCCUGGGGUCCUGGGAUCAAGUCCCGCAUCGGGCUCCCCCACGGAGCCUGCUUCUCCCUCUGCCUAUGUCUCUGCCUCUCUCUGUGUCUUUCAUGAAUAAAAUCUUUUUUAAAAAUGUGUUGAUUUUCA
rnacentral:lncRNA from 12 species